rfam:Nelumbo nucifera unplaced genomic scaffold scaffold00050, whole genome shotgun sequence
AUAUGUGCUGUGAUGAAGCUAUUGUGGACUAGAGUUUCUGAUCUGGGGUUCAACUCAGAAGUUGAAGACAAACCCUUGGCUGUCUGAGCACCCUU